UCCCCUUUGUUUAAAGCAGUCGCCGACGUAUCCCAGGCCCAAUCUCAGUCGUACCAUCACCGCUGACCGCCGCCCAUAUCGAUUUGGAAUUGGAUAACCGGUGCUGUUAUUUUGUUCACGAAUUCGAGAACCAAGAAUGUUGCGGGCAUCCAAAUGGCUUAGGUUUAGUGCUGGGGAGCUAAUCUUACGCAAUUGCUCUUACAAGAAACCACUCCUCUUAACCACCUGCUUCUGUUCUCCCCCUGCCCAUGAAUGUCUUCUUCUCCAGAGGAGCAUAAGCAGCAGCAGUAGUGGUAUCUGUGGUUCCUACUCUACUUACCUUCCAUGGAAGAAUCCGAGAAGCAGAACAAGCUCUGCUGGAACUCUCAAUGUCAAAAAUUUCCUCUCCGAUUCUGGGUUUUUCUCUGCCCCUUCCAAGCCACCGAGUGCAAUGCUAAAUGGGCGCGUAUUGUUCUCGAGCUCUGCUCCUAGGAAGCCUAAUGGUAAUCAGGACCAUGGAGGUAAAUCAUCGAUUACUACUGCUAAAUCAGAGGAGAAACAAGUUGCAGACAUGAAAAUUCUUCGUACGCUUGUUAGUUACUUGUGGAUGAAAGAUAACUACGAAUUUCGCUUAAGGGUCAUCACUGCUUUUGCCUUUCUUGUGGGUGCUAAGGUCUUGAAUGUUCAGGUCCCUUUUCUGUUUAAACUUGUUGUUGAUUGGUUGACCACUGCUACUGGGAAUGCUCCUGCGCUUGCUUCCUUCACUACUGCUAAUUCUACUCUUAUUGCUCUCUUUGCAACCCCUGCAUCUGUUCUCAUUGGUUAUGGCAUUGCCCGCUGUGGGGCGUCUGCUUUCAAUGAACUGAGGACUGCCGUGUUCUCUAAGGUUGCUCUGCGAACAAUCCGUCAGGUUUCUAGAAAGGUGUUUCCACAUUUGCAUGACUUGGACCUCAGAUUUCAUCUCAGAUAUUUGCUUCCAAAAACCCAUGAUGUGCAAUGAUAUACAUUGCUUUGAUUAAAUAUAAGGUGCUUUUAGCAACUGAUUUAUCAUGUCUGCUGUGGUCUUUCUUUUUCUAGUCGAGAGACGGGUGCACCAAAUAGAAUAAUUGAUCGUGGUAGCCGAGGAAUAAAUUUUAUUCUCUCAUCGAUGGUUCUCAAUGUUGUACCAACUAUCUUAGAGAUAUCUAUGGUAUCAGGCAUUUUGGCAUACAAGUUUGGAGCUCCUUUUGCUUGGAUUACUUCUCUUUCGGUUGCUGCAUAUGUUGCUUUCACAUUGUUUGUGACUCAGAUACAGAAGAAGAGCCCAAACUGAUAAGAUCGUUCAAGGGCUUAUAUACAAUGUUUUCUCCCUGAGAUCCAGCUGACGGGGGAGAAAAGGAAGAAAAUAGAAAUUUGGAGAAAAUUUGCUGAAAAAAAGCUGAAAAAUCGAUUUGGCCGAAGUGAUUUGGCCAAAUCACUUACAGAAAGCUGAAGUAGGAAACUGGAAUUGACUUGCAGAAAUGAUUUGGGCAAGCGAUUUGCCCAAAUCAACUGACCCAAUCGAUUGUCUCCAGCAAAUUACAGCAGCGCGGGAAAAGAAGGAAAUUCAAAAUUCAAAAUUCAAAAAGUAUUAGAGUCAUAUCCUACUUUAAACACCACAAGACCAAUCCUAUGACAACUCCAAGAGCCACACCAAAGAAAGUCCUUCACCAAAGGAGUUUUAUUCAUGAUAAAAUACAAAGGCAAAGGAGGGAUUAAAAGACCAUCAAGAGACCGAAUCAAAAUAUGAUUCUAAUUCCAAGAAGGAUUAAGAUUUCUCACCUAUAAAAAGGGACAGCAACCAACUAGCAAAGGAUCAUCACAAUCACUCCAGAUUUUCGGAAGCAACUUCUCUCUACUCUUCUUCUUUAUUUUUGUAUUCUUUGUCCACCAUGAGUGGCUAAACACUUUUGUCUCUAGUUGAAGUUGGAGAAAUUUUAGUUUGUGAUAAAUUAGGAGAUUUAAAACUCCAUUGUUAAACUUCUAUUUUUUA